rnacentral:hammerhead_ribozyme from 1 species
GUACAGAUGAAGAGUUUCAAACUAGGACGAAACAGUUGUCCAGUAC